GAGUGAACGCUAGCGAUGCGCCUAACACAUGCAAGUCGAGCGGCUCGCAAGAGCAGCGGCAGACGACUGCGUAACACGUUGGAACCUUCCCCGCACUCAGGGAUAACUCCGGGAAACCGGAGCUAAUACCGGAUGGUCCCGCAAGGGUAAAGCUUUUGCGGUGCGGGAGGGGCCUGCGGCCUAUCAGCUCGUUGGUAAGGUAAUGGCUUACCAAGGCUAUGACGGGUAGCUGGUCUGAGAGGACGACCAGCCAGGAUGGGACUGAGACACGGCCCAUACUCCUACGGGAGGCAGCAGUGAGGAAUCUUCCGCAAUGGGCGAAAGCCUGACGGAGCGACACCGCGUGGAGGAUGAAGCCCUUCUUGGGUGUAAACUCCUGUUCUGAGGGAAUAAAUUUUUGAAGGUACCUCAGGAGAAAGCAUCGGCUAACUACGUGCCAGCAGCCGCGGUAAGACGUAGGAUGCAAGCGUUACUCGGAAUCACUGGGCGUAAAGCGUCUGUAGGCGUUACGUAAAGUCUGAUGUAAAAGGACAGAGCUCAACUCUGUUUACGUGUCGGAAACUUACGUGAUUGAGCAACUCAGAGGCACCUGGAAUGCUGUGUGUAGGGGUAAAAUCCGUUGAUACACAGUGGAACGCUCAAAGCGAAGGCAGGGUGCUGGGGGUUUGCUGACGCUCAGAGACGAAAGCGUGGGGAGCGACCCGGAUUAGAUACCCGGUUAGUCCACGCCCUAAACGAUGCGUGCUCGGUGUGGGGGGACGUUCGAUCGACCCUCCGUGCCUUAGCUAACGCGGUAAGCACGCCGCCUGGGGAGUACGGCCGCAAGGUUAAAACUCAAAGGAAUAGACGGGGACCCACACAAGCGGUGGAGCAUGGGGUUUAAUUCGAUACUAAGCGGGGCACCUCACCCAGGCUUGACAUCUAGGGAACCCUGCAGAAAUGCGGGGGUGCCGCAAGGAACCCUAAGACAGGCGCUGCACGGUCGUCGUCAGCUCGUGCCUUGAGGUGUGUUGUUAAGUCAAUGAACGAGCGCAACCCUCAUCCCGUGUUGUUUUUUCACGGGAGACUGCCGACUCCAAGUCGGAGGAAGGUGGGGAUGACGUCAGAUCAGCGUGGCCCUUAUGCCUGGGGCCACACCCGUGCUACAAUGGCCAGUACAGCGGGCGGCGAAGCCGCGAGGCGGAGCCAAUCCCUUAAAGCUGGUCUCAGUUCGGAUCGCAGGCUGAAACUCGACUGCGUGAAGUUGGAUCGCUAGUAACCGUGAUCAGCCACGUCACGGUGAUAUG
rnacentral:rRNA from 1 species